GACGAACGCUGGCGGCGUGCUUAACACAUGCAAGUCGAACGGAAAGGCCCCUUUGGGGGUACUCGAGUGGCGAACGGGUGAGUAACACGUGAGUAACCUGCCCUUGACUUCGGGAUAACUUCAGGAAAAUGGGGCUAAUACCGGAUAGGAAUCCUUGCUGCAUGGUGGGGGUUGGAAAGCUUCGGCGGUUUUGUAUGGACUCGAGGCUCAUCCGCUUGUUGGUGGGGUAGUGGCUUAACAAGGCUUUGACGGGGAGCCGGCCCGGGAGGGCGACCGGCCACAUUGGGACUGGGAUACGGCCCAGACUCCUACGGGAGGCAGCAGUGGGGAAGAUUGAACAAUGGGCGGGAGCCUGAUGCAGCAACAGCGCGUGCGGGAUGACGGCCUUCGGGUUGGAAACCGCUUUCAGCAGGGGCGAAGCUUGUGGUGACGGUACCUGCAGAAGAAGCACCGGCUAACUACGUG
rnacentral:rRNA from 1 species